rnacentral:lncRNA from 1 species
AUAAAAUGAGUUAGGGAGGAGUCCUUCAUUUUCUGUUUUUUGGAAUAAUUUCAGAAGUAAUGGUAUCAGCUCCUCUUUUUACCUCUGGUAGAAUUCGGCUGUGAAUCCAUCUGGUCCUGGGCUGUUUUUGAUUGUGGAAAUCUAUUUUGUGUAGGAUAUUGGAGACCAAGAUAAGCAGCUUUAUACCUGGAAAUGGGCCUGCCUUUCCUUCAGCUGAACCCUUAAUGUGAAGGCCAGGGGAAAGAGUAAAUCUAGUGACACAACAAUGUGAAAAUACUUUCACUUCAACCCCAUGAAGAUUACAUAGAAGAAAAUGCCAGAUGAAGUUCCUUAUUGUUUCUCAUUCACAGAAUUUAUUUCCACUAAGUUAUUAAAAAAAUGGGCAAAAGAAAGUGGAACUUCAACUGUUCCUUAGGACAAUACGGACUUGUGUUUUUGAAGAAGCAAAGUGGAAAUGAUUAGGCAGCAGGGACUCUUUGCAGAAAAACGUAAGGAGCAAAGAAAAAUUUCUCAGAAAAGGAGAUUUGAAGCACAAUUGUCAUCAGUUCACAGAAGAAUUUUGAAGUUCUGUUUCCAGAGGCCUCUCUCUGCCUGCCCAGAGACUGUACAUCUUCAGAGAUGAGCAAAACUCUGCACUCUGCAAAAUCAGCACCCUCUGUCUAAUCAAAAGUUAACUUGGCCCAGGUUUUAGUUUCUCUGUAAGUUUUGUUGGAAAGUAAUAUAAUAAAUCUUAUUACAAGAUACAGCUGAUUAUGUAUACAUUAUGUCUUUGGAGAAAUUUGCAUUUUAAGAGGAAGGUCAAGGAUGCCUUAAUUACAAACAUUGCAUUUUUGGUUAUUUAAAUAGUAUCUGGGAAAACGGUGAAGAUAUAUAGGAAGUUAAGAAAGAUACCUGUAUCUACCACGUGUGAAAGAUUAUCUCAGUAAAUAGAAUUGGCUACAUAUUCAUCUAUUAUAAUAAUACCAAAAAAGAAGAUAUAUAUCUUCAAAGCGUCACAAUUUUUGUAGUCAGCAAAAUGAAUGGCAAAGAUAAUGAGAGAAUAAAGAUACAAAAAUGAGUAUUUAAAAAUAGAAUUCCAAUGGGAAAACUGUUAAUUUUAAAAAUUAUAUGUAAAGAUGAGGUUGCUGUUAAGCAUUUUACACCAAUAGAGAUAUCAAUUGGAAUAUUUUAUGUGAAGAAAAGAAAUAAUGACUUAACUUUGUCAAUAAAGAAAGCA